GACGAACGCUGGCGGCGUGCUUAACACAUGCAAGUCGAACGGAAAGGCCCUGCUUUUGUGGGGUGCUCGAGUGGCGAACGGGUGAGUAACACGUGAGUAACCUGCCCUUGACUUUGGGAUAACUUCAGGAAACUGGGGCUAAUACCGGAUAGGAGCUCCUGCUGCAUGGUGGGGGUUGGAAAGUUUCGGCGGUUGGGGAUGGACUCGCGGCUUAUCAGCUUGUUGGUGGGGUAGUGGCUUACCAAGGCUUUGACGGGUAGCCGGCCUGAGAGGGUGACCGGCCACAUUGCGAGUGAGAUACGGCGCAGAAUACUACGGGAGGAAGCAGUGGGGAAUAUUGCACAACGGGGGGAGGACUGCUGCAGCAACGACGCGUGGGGGAUGAUGGACUUCGGGUUGUAAACCGCUUUCGUUUGUGACGAAGCGUGAGAGACGGUAAUGGGUAAAGAAGCAGCGGAUAACUACG
rnacentral:rRNA from 1 species